rnacentral:rRNA from 1 species
AUUGAACGCUGGCGGAAUGCUUUACACAUGCAAGUCGAACGGCAGCACGGACUUCGGUCUGGUGGCGAGUGGCGAACGGGUGAGUAAUGUAUCGGAACGUGCCCAGUCGUGGGGGAUAACGUAGUGAAAAUUACGCUAAUCCCGCAUACGAUCUAUGGAUGAAAGCGGGGGAUCGCAAGACCUUGCGCGAUUGGAGCGGCCGAUAUCAGAUUAGGUAGUUGGUGGGGUAAAGGCCCACCAAGCCAACGAUCUGUAGCUGGUCUGAGAGGACGACCAGCCACACUGGAACUGAGACACGGUCCAGACUCCUACGGGAGGCAGCAGUGGGGAAUUUUGGACAAUGGGCGAAAGCCUGAUCCAGCCAUUCCGCGUGCAGGAUGAAGGCCCUCGGGUUGUAAACUGCUUUUGUACAGAACGAAAAGGUUUCUACUAAUACUAGGAGCUCAUGACGGUACUGUAAGAAUAAGCACCGGCUAACUACGUGCCAGCCGCCGCGGUAA